UCCGUUAUGGUCUAGUGGCUAGCAUCGGCCACUCUCAUUGUGAAAGCAUUAAACCGGCCAGACUGGGGUUCGAUUCAUCGUGACAGAA